UACGAAGGGGGCUAGCGUUGUUCGGAAUUACUGGGCGUAAAGCGCACGUAGGCGGCCUAUUAAGUCAGGGGUGAAAUCCCGGGGCUCAACCCCGGAACUGCCUUUGAUACUGGUAGUCUCGAGUCCGGAAGAGGUGAGUGGAAUUCCGAGUGUAGAGGUGAAAUUCGUAGAUAUUCGGAAGAACACCAGUGGCGAAGGCGGCUCACUGGUCCGGUACUGACGCUGAGGUGCGAAAGCGUGGGGAGCAAACAGG
rnacentral:rRNA from 1 species